CAGCCGCCGCGGUAAUACGUAGGUGGCGAGCGUUGUCCGGAUUUAUUGGGCGUAAAGGGAGUGUAGGCGGUCUUUUAAGUCUGAUGUGAAAGCCCACGGCUCAACCGUGGAGGGUCAUUGGAAACUGGGAGACUUGAGUGCAGAAGAGGAGAGCGGAAUUCCAUGUGUAGCGGUGAAAUGCGUAGAUAUAUGGAGGAACACCAGUGGCGAAGGCGGCUCUCUGGUCUGUAACUGACGCUGAGGCUCGAAAGCGUGGGGAGCAAACAGGACUAGAUACCCCAGUAGUCCCUGUCUCUUAUAC
rnacentral:rRNA from 1 species